AAUGUGGUCGACUUCGAGCGUAGGACGGCGUACAAGGUGUCUUGGGACGGCGACGCGAACACUCGAGGAGGCUAUUACGACGCCGAGAUCCUCGAACUGACGGGACUACCUGCGGCUCGGCUGUUGAUGCGGGAGGUGCUGUAGGGCCCUACUGCCUAACACAUCCAUGUCGGGCAAGGUGUGCACGUCAACCAGGAAUGCGGGCAACAUGCGGAAAGCAGAGUGCGACUCCAUGUUUUGCAAGAUCACCGCUGCUUCCAUAGGGCUGCUUUUGACUACACCUGAGGGAGAAAGGUACCGCCAGGCUGAAAGGGCAGCCCGGCACCAGAAGAUACGGCGGUACCUGUCAGAAAAGCUGUCCAAUCUCAAGAGAAAUCACUACAAAGGCUCAUCCCUUUGCUGCCUGUCCUCCCCCGAUGCGUGGUCCCACCACGGACUGCCCAUGCUGUUGCAGGUCUGCCAUCGCUUGCACCCCAUGUUGUAGCCUUUUUACCCUUUUCUUAUUAAUUUAGCUUAAUUUAUA
rnacentral:misc_RNA from 1 species